UACGAAGGGGGCGAGCGUUGUUCGGAAUUACUGGGCGUAAAGGGCGCGUAGGCGGCGAACCAAGUCAGAUGUGAAAGUCCUGGGCUUAACCUGGGGACUGCAUUUGAUACUGGUUUGCUUGAAUUCGGGAGAGGAUAGCGGAAUUCCCAGUGUAGAGGUGAAAUUCGUAGAUAUUGGGAAGAACACCGGUGGCGAAGGCGGCUAUCUGGACCGACAUUGACGCGUGAGGCGCGAAAGCGUGGGGAGCAAACAGG
rnacentral:rRNA from 1 species